AUCCUUGCCUGCCUGAGCCCUUCCAAAGCUGAGCAGCUCUUUUCCUUCCUUUCUGUGUCUGUGGCUGCUGCAUUUGAGUUCAUUCUCAUUUGCUUAACCAAAGACUUUGCCACCCUGCUGUUAUCAUCCUAUUCUAGCAUUACAGAAGGGCAGUUUCAGUGGAGGGAAGUUGCUGCUCCAAUUCUCAAAGCAGGAUUAAAUGGAGCACACAGGGAGAGGGAUGAAAGGUCAGAUUAACAGCGGUGCGGUAAAGCUCCGGUUGUUACUUCGACAGCAUCACAACACAUACUGACAUGCAGUCACUACCUUUUCAGGUUCGUAUUUGUGUGGACGCCGUUGUCAAUCACAUGUGUGGAUCUGCAGCGGGUCAGGCACCUGCGGGAGCUGUCAACACAGGGAACAGAGGGUUUCCUGCUCUGCCCUUCCCUGCCUGGGAUUUCAGUGGUGGCAAAUGUCAUACUGGAAGCGGAGACAUCGAAAAUCAUGGGGACGUGUAUCAGAACAUCCAACUGGCCAAUGGCAGAAGGGGUAAUUGUUCUCCCCUUCCCUGUUUCCUGAGAUUAAUAAACUGACUUAUUCCCUUGCUGCUGAUGUUAGAGUGCAGAAAUAGCUGGUGCAUCCCUUUCUUUGUGGUAAGUGUGGAUUUUUUAAGCUACAUUGAAGACAGGUACCUACUUCACCCUAAAAACUUCAGGUAGUUAAGCCUAAUAUUCUAUUUUAUUCUUAGGCAUACUCUUUGCUACACAUAACACAGCACAUCUGUGUUAGGUACAGCAGUCUUCAGAAAGUAACUGUUCCAAGCUGAUAAUUCUUCUGUAAAAUUGAUAAUAUCACCUGCUCCCCACCUACAAAAUUAAACAUUGUCUCAAAGAUAAUGGUAGCAACAUAGUUUGAAAUGAAAACAGAGCUGGUUGAGUCCCCCUACACAGUUUUGCUUCAGCAAAAAGAUCAAGUGGAAGACAUGCCUAAAGAGGCCUAAUUUUACUAACAUUAUUUUUAAACAUAAUUUAAGCUGUACCAAAUUGAAUUGGUGGACAGGCAUGAGACAUUGCCUUAAAUACAAGUAAAACCUUAUUCCCACAAGGAAAUAGCUUCCUGCAUUUCUAAGUACUAUCUCCUAUGGAAGUAGAAGCUAAGUAUUUUUAUUUCUUUAUUUCCUAUUACACUUCCCCCCCCCCAGUAGUAGCUGGCAAAAUAGCCAGAGCACCAGUUUUACUCCUUUUUAACUGUCUGUUUAGGUUGCUGGUACUGUGAAACAGCUCUAGCACAUACAGGACAUGCACUUGGAUGGACACUCACCAUAGGAACAUUUCACCUCCCACUGCUUACCCAAGCCCUUUCAGAAGGGAAAGCCCACUGCACUCUGUAGAGCACAUUAAGCAACUGCACACAGUGACUUAAGUCUCAGUCCAAGGCCUCAUUCAAACAAGCUUUACCUGAGAUGUUAAGUCAGCUGAACUUCACAUUCAUGCAGAACACAGGGCCAGGAAAAGCUGGCUUCCAUAUCCUCACUUCCAGCCUAGAAGAAAACCAGCCUAGAAUGAACAUCACCACAGGAGCCUCUCCAGCACC
ensembl:lncRNA